rnacentral:tRNA from 1 species
GGGCGUGACGCUGGUUUAGCGUGAUACUCUGCAAAGGUAUUAGAGAUAUUAAGUAUCCUCGUCUU